GAUGAAAAGGCAACAGACUUUGACGGGUUUCUUGGCAAAGAAACCAAAACAUGAACAACAACCAGCAGAAGUGAACAAGAACCAUCCCCAGCGCCACAAGCACCAUCACCUGAAACCAGACAAAACAGCAAAGCGAGUACAGAGUCACCCGCCGCAUCUGAAAUCUGAACCAUUCUUCCAGACGGCUGGACCUUGCAACAGUACAGCUACUUCCAAGAGAAACAUGACAGGUUGGAAGUUCAAACAAGAAACUAGGUUGUAAAUACUGUGCAGAACAUGGCUUCUCAAUGGAGAGCGGUAUUCAUGUAAGCAAAGAGUGGAAGCUUUUCAAGAUUGAGCCAGCUAGGAAAAAGAAGGAAGAGCACCAGGCGUUUCUACGGAAGAAAAUGAGAGAACAUUUUGUAUCGAAAUCGCAUGCCAUUUGUAGAGACAACGUCAUACAAGCUGAGCAGGAAGCCAUAACAAAAGCAAUGGAUAAGAUUUCUGAAAUGCAAUUUGCCACCAACUUUUAAAAUGUUCAAAACUGUUUACAGCCUGGCAAAAGCACGCAGACCAAUUUCAAGCAUCGAGGAAUUGAUAGAAUUACAAACUGAAAAUGGACUAGAUCUGGGAGUAGGGUUGCAUUCAAGACUGCAGUUGUCAAAAUAGUUGAGUGCAUUGCAAACGAAAUUAAAACCCAAAUGUUUUCCAGCACCAUUGCACAGAAUCUGAAAAUAUGUCUGAUCAUUGAUGAAGCCUCAACAGUAUCCUGCAAACCAGUUCUGAUAGUUUUCUUAAAAGUUGAGGACUUAGAGGACCCACCAACAAUUUUUAUCGAGCUGGUUGAAUUGAAGAAACAAGAUGCAGGGACAAUACGUUCUGCAGUUUUUGAAAGUUUACAUAAGGUUGGAUUUACCUGGGACUACCUACAAAAAAAUGUAAUAGCGUUCUGCUCUGAUGGUGCCAGCGUUUAUGCUUGGGAGAAAAUCUGGAGUGAGCACCAGAAAAAUCAAAGAGUUUCCAAAUAUCAUCAUAUGGCACUGCUUGAACCAUCGCCUCCAACUUGUUUUAGAUGACGCCAUAAAGGAAAUAAAGCAAGUCAAUCAUUUUAAAAAUUGUAUUGAUAAGAUAUGCUCCAUUUUCCAGCAAUCGAAUAAAAACCGAAUUGAACUUGACGAAAUAGCUGAAGAACUUGAUAUUAACAUCAUAAGGAUUGGUCGGGUUUUUGAGCCAAGAUAGGCUACCUGUAGUUUAAGGGCCACCAUAGAUGUCUGGCAUGCUUAUCCUGUGCUACAGCAAUACUUUCAUGCGAAUGCAAAAUACUCGGAUAUGGCUGCCCGUCUGGAAAAUAAACAUUUCUUAAAUGAUUUGGCAUUGAUGAGAGACGUUUUGGAAUAAAUUUCACUUCUUUCAACUGCACUGCAAGCACGCAAUACCGAUAUAAUAAAAGCUGAAAAAUUGGUGAGAAGAUCAAUAAAGGCAUUUGAACUGCUAACAAAGGGAAAGGGCGAAAGAAAGUUGAAGGACUAAUUACCUCAGAAACCUUCAGGAAUAUAAAGAUCAUAGAAAACGAUCGAUUUGUUGGUCUUCAUCGAGAAAGACUUUUACAAAGUAUCAUCAAAAAUUGGGGUAAACGACUGAUGGACUGUGAGCAUUUAAAAACUGGGAACCAACUGCAAGACACCCAAAUAAACUACAGUUUCUACAGUUUUUGAUGCCAGAAUAAAGGGAUGUUGAGGAAAUAGUCCUUCCAUGGGCAGCAGCUGAAAAACAACUGCGCACAUUUAGAGACAUUUCCAACUACAAAAUUGACAUCGAUGACCACAGAGAUUUUGUGGAGAAUAUCUUGAAAGAUCCGAAGAGGUAUGCAAUUCCUGAGAGUAUCAAAAAAGCAAAAGAUAUUGUCACAACAAUUGCAGCGAGUUCUGAGAAGUGGAAAGGGGUUUUUCUAAAGUGAACCUGAUAUUUCAGAGAGCAGAAGUCACCUAGCCGUUUCCAAUCUAACCAGCCUCAUGACCAUCAGCGUUACUGGACUAUCUCUUCCAAAAUGGGAUCCUAUUCUUGCAGUGAAAAAAUGGUUCAGAGAACACCAUCGCUCAGCCAAUGAUCCAAGCAUCAAGUGCAAGAAAAGUGGAAGUGAGGAGAGUGCCACUGAAAUAGCUAUGUGGAAACAUCUCAUAGCUAAAGACGACUAACAGUUUUAUGUCGUUAUUAUCCUUGGUGCAAGAAGCGUCGUUGAAGACAACACUUUUAUUGCUCUUCUUAGCUGCUUCCUUUAACCGGAAGGAUGAAAAGGCAACAGACUUUGACGGGUUUCUUGGCCAAGAAACCAAAACAUGAACAACAACCAGCAGAAGUGAACAAGAACCAUCCCCAGCGCCACAAGCACCACCACCUGAAACCAGACAAAACAGCAAAGCGAGUACAGAGUCACCCGCCGCAUCUGAAAUCUGAACCAUUCUUCCAGACGGCUGGACCAUGCAACAGUACAGCUACUUCCAAGAGAAACAUGACAGGUUGGAAGUUCAAACAAGAAACUAGGUUGUAAAUACUGUGCAGAACAUGGCUUCUCAAUGGAGAGCGGUAUUCAUGUAAGCAAAGAGUGGAAGCUUUUCA